UACGAAGGGGGCUAGCGUUGCUCGGAAUCACUGGGCGUAAAGCGCACGUAGGCGGACUCUUAAGUCGGUGGUGAAAUCCUGGAGCUCAACUCCAGAACUGCCUUCGAUACUGGGGAGCUCGAGUCCGGGAGAGGUGAGUGGAACUGCGAGUGUAGAGGUGAAAUUCGUAGAUAUUCGCAAGAACACCAGUGGCGAAGGCGGCUCACUGGCCCGGUACUGACGCUGAGGUGCGAAAGCGUGGGGAGCAAACAGG
rnacentral:rRNA from 1 species